rnacentral:rRNA from 1 species
GACGAACGCUGGCGGCGUGCCUAAUACAUGCAAGUUGAGCGCUGAAGGUUGGUACUUGUACCAACUGGAUGAGCAGCGAACGGGUGAGUAACGCGUGGGGAAUCUGCCUUUGAGCGGGGGACAACAUUUGGAAACGAAUGCUAAUACCGCAUAAAAACUUUAAACACAAGUUUUAAGUUUGAAAGAUGCAAUUGCAUCACUCAAAGAUGAUCCCGCGUUGUAUUAGCUAGUUGGUGGGGUAAAGGCUCACCAAGGCGAUGAUACAUAGCCGACCUGAGAGGGUGAUCGGCCACAUUGGGACUGGGACACGGCCCAAACUCCUACGGGAGGCAGCAGUAGGGAAUCUUCGGCAAUAGACGAAAGUCUGACCGAGCAACGCCGCGUGAGUGAAGAAGGUUUUCGGAUCGUAAAACUCUGUUGGUAGAGAAGAACGUUGGUGAGAGUGGAAAGCUCAUCAAGUGACGGUAACUACCCAGAAAGGGACGGCUAACUACGUG